GUUUAGUGAAAGCAUUCUGCAUUACUUGGCACAAAAUGGACAAGUAGAAGCAUUGCGUCUAGUGUUUGAUAAAUCACACAAACGGGUGAAUUGGAGAGACAAGAAGUUUGGCGAAACUCCACUUCACUGGUUGUUAAAAGCAAACCAUAUAUUUCACGUUCAUAAGGGCGCAACACAAGUACUAUUAGACGCUGGAGCAGAAACCCAUAUCGAAAACGAGGGCGGUUCUACUCCAGCAGAGCUUUAUACUGUAAAUAAAUGCAGCAAGUACGAUGACGCUCAAAAAGAUGGACAGAAGAAAGAAGUCUUGCUACUUUUAGACA